GUCCACGCCCUAAACGAUGUCAACUAGUUGUUGGGGAGGGAGACCUCCUUAGUAACGCAGCUAACGCGUGAAGUUGACCGCCUGGGGAGUACGGUCGCAAGAUUAAAACUCAAAGGAAUUGACGGGGCCCGCACAAGCGGUGGAUUAUGUGGAUUAAUUCGAUGCAACGCGAAAACCUUACCUACCCUUGACAUGCUAAGAACUUGCCAGAGAUGGCUUGGUGCUUGAAAGAGAACUUAGACACAGGUGCUGCAUGGCUGUCGU
rnacentral:rRNA from 1 species